GCAUUAAUGGGGUAGAGGUAACCCAGGUCUUCAAAGUUUGAGUUUAAGUGUUGCAGUUAAAGACCAGCCGAGAGUUCGAAUCCCUCUUAAUGCA